rnacentral:lncRNA from 1 species
AUGCAGAGCUGGGAACCCCAGACAGAGCUGAACGGAGAAGAGGCAGAGCCGCCCUCUGGGGCUGACCUCACGGCUGGAGGGGGGUGGUCUCACGUGCCCCCCCCCCGGCAGAGGCUCCGGGGAAGCUUGGGGUGGCUCCCUGGGAGAAGGGGCGGAUGCAGCUCCCGCACGGCCCAGCCGCCCGCUCGCUCUCCUCUGUGCCAGGCCAGGAUGAGGCUGCCACCCCGGGCUGGAGGCAGGUGCAGCGCCCCGCGCCCCACCUGGGGAGGACGGGGAGUGUCGGGAGCAGACUCGGCUCUGCGUGAGGGGCGACGCAGCCCGGCCCUGGCCCCCGGUCCCGGCUUGGAUGCACUGUGCAUCCCUGUGGCCCAGCCCCUGCUCCCGGAGGUGGGUGGCACAACAGCCCCCGGCCCCUCAGAGAGGAGAAACCAGAGCUGCAGAGACACUGGGGCACAGGGUGAAGGGUUACCGCAGGCCCGGACUCCCGGCUACCUCCCAGCUUCCCGUAGCGGGACCGCCCCAGGUCUGCAGGCCCCGUGUGAGGCUCUGGAGCCUUGGACAGGUCAGAGGAGCCAUGGGGACACAGGGACACCCCCACCAAGCAGCCACACCCCCGCAAGUCCACGCCCCAGGCUGCAGCGGCCGGUGUGCGCGUACUGGGGGACCCUGCAGAAAGCGUUCACCCUCUCUGGCCUGUCUGCCCCCCCCAAUUCUGAGAGCAGGGCGCUUCGUGUGGGGUUUCUCGCAGGUGCUGAGGGGAGAAGGGCAGGGCACUGUGACCAGCAGGUGGAGUGGGUGCCAGGAUGUGCCCCACGGGCCAGAGGGUCACGGGGCCUUCCCUGGGUCCCUGUCUGUGUCCUGAGAGCCCCCAGAGGCCCCGAGCUGAGCAGGCUUUGUGGACUUGGGCCCAGCCCUUCGGUCCCAGAGCCGGCUCCCAUCCCUCUCCCAGCUGGUCUACUCGGACAGGCAACCAGGCUGCUCCUCGGGGCAGACCAGGUAGGGUAG